rnacentral:rRNA from 1 species
CAAUAGCGUAUAUUAUUGAUGUUGCAGUUAAAACGCUCGUAGUCGCUUAUUUGCUGCAAAAUAUCCAUCUUUGUUUGAUAAGGGGGAUUGCAUGUCGCGCAUGCGAGAGGAAAGGGAAAGUAACUUUCCUUUUAACUCUGGUGUUUUACUUUGAGUGAAUUGGCGUGUUCCACGCAGGCUAAAAAGCCCUGAACAGUGCACCAUAGUAUAUAGACGGAAGAAGAAGCUUCCUUUGCCAAUCUGGAGGUUUUUUUGAAAAACAUAGGAACGGUGGAGGGUAUUUAUAUUCGACUGCUAGAGGUGAAAUUCUUUGACCAGUUGAGGAUGAACUAUGGCGAAAGCAUCUACCAAAGACGCUUCCUUUGA